AACGGAUUGUAAUACAUCAUAACAUAAMGAAGCCGCAUGACUUUGUUAUCAAAGAUUUAUCACUCAGGGAUGGGCUCGCGUYUGAUUAGAUAGUUGGUGAGGUAACGGCUCACCAAGUYGACGAUCAGUAGCCGGACUGAGAGGUUGAACGGCCACAUUGGGAMUGAGACACGGCCCAGACUCCUACGGGAGGCAGCAGUGGGGAAUAUUGCACAAUGGGGGAAACCCUGAUGCAGMGAUGCCGCGUGGAGGAAGAAGGUUUUCGGAUUGUAAACUCCUGUCUCAAAGGACGAUAAUGACGGUACUAGAGAGUCGKUC
rnacentral:rRNA from 1 species